UUAAGGUCAAGCGCGAGAGUAAGAACUACACAAGGAGUUAGAGUACCUUAGCAAAACUUUGCUAUCAGGUUGAGUUGUGAUGGGCGAUGAAGUGUUGCUGAGUGGAGUUUUUGUCGAACUUAAAGUAGGCUCAGAAAGGAUACAUGUCUUCAUACAUGUAUCUCAGUUAUGCAUUCCGCUGUAAACACUGAUUAUUUCAGUUACACCUUCCGUUACAAACUCUGAUAAUGUUUUAGCCAAGCCCCUAACGAUGCCUUUUUUUUCCUUUUAAGGAAUAUAACGCGUAUACAAGUUCUUUGAGUACCCUUUUUAUGCGAACUAUGCCUUUUUCCUUUUUAAGGAAUAUUUCACGCGUAUUCA